UCGACGGGACUUUUGCCUUCGGGUAAAAGUUUAGUGGCGAACGGGUUAGUAACACGUGGGAAUAUACCUUAUAGUGGGGGAUAACUGUUGGAAACGACAGCUAAUACCGCAUACGCUCUACGGAGGAAAGAUUUAUCGCUAUAAGAUUAGCCCGCGCUAGAUUAGCUAGUUGGUGAGGUAAUGGCUCACCAAGGCUACGAUCUAUAGCUGGUUUGAGAGGAUGACCAGCAACACUGGAACUGAGACACGGUCCAGACUCCUACGGGAGGCAGCAGUGGGGAAUAUUGCACAAUGGGGGAAACCCUGAUGCAGCCAUGCCGCGUGAGUGAUGAAGGCCUUAGGGUUGUAAAGCUCUUUCAGAUGCGAGGAUGAUGACGUUAACAUCAGAAGAAGCCCCGGCUAACUUCGUGCCAGCAGCCGCGGUAAUACGAAGGGGGCAAGCGUUGUUCGGAAUUACUGGGCGUAAAGCGUACGCAGGCGGACUUUUAAGUUAGAGGUGAAAUCCUAGGGCUCAACCCUAGAACUGCCUUUAAGACUGGAAGUCUAGAGUGUGUGAGGGGAUAGUGGAAUACCUAGUGUAGAGGUGGAAUUCGUAGAUAUUAGGUGGAACACCAGUGGCGAAGGCGACUAUCUGGCACACAACUGACGCUCAUGUACGAAAGCGUGGGGAGCAAACAGGAUUAGAUACCCU
rnacentral:rRNA from 1 species